rnacentral:rRNA from 1 species
UACGGGGGGGAGCAAGCGUUGUUCGGAUUUACUGGGCGUAAAGAGCUCGUAGGUGGUUUGUCGCGUUGUUCGUGAAAACUCACAGCUUAACUGUGGGCGUGCGGGCGAUACGGGCAGACUAGAGUACUGCAGGGGGAGACUGGAAUUCCUGGUGUAGCGGUGGAAUGCGCAGAUAUCAGGGAGGGAACACCGGUGGGCGAAGGCGGGUCUCUGGGCAGUAACUG